GAGGGAUGCAUGCAUCUGUAGCAACGCAAGCAUGAACGAGAAGUCGGCCCCACGAAGCGCCGAAGGCAGAUAGGAAAGCAAGUAAAAGCACAAAAAGUUGGCCUAGUCUCACAUGGGGCUAUCACGGAGAGGACCAAUUCCUCUGUUCCACAUGGUAAGCUAGCAGCAUGGAGAUUUUUUCCUUUUUAGGAAAAAACAAUGCCUAAAAUAUAUGAGG
rnacentral:lncRNA from 1 species